UACGAAGGGGGCUAGCGUUGCUCGGAAUUACUGGGCGUAAAGGGCGCGUAGGCGGAUGUCUAAGUUGGGGGUGAAAGCCCGGGGCUCAACCUCGGAAUAGCCUUCAAUACUGGAUAUCUUGAGUUCGGGAGAGGUGAGUGGAAUGCCGAGUGUAGAGGUGAAAUUCGUAGAUAUUCGGCGGAACACCAGUGGCGAAGGCGACUCACUGGCCCGAUACGUGACGCUGAGGCGCGAAAGCGUGGGGAGCAACAGGG
rnacentral:rRNA from 1 species